rnacentral:rRNA from 1 species
AGUGAACGCUGGCGGUAGGCCUAACACAUGCAAGUCGAACGGCAGCACAGGAGAGCUUGCUCUCUGGGUGGCGAGUGGCGGACGGGUGAGGAAUACAUCGGAAUCUACUCUGUCGUGGGGGAUAACGUAGGGAAACUUACGCUAAUACCGCAUACGACCUACGGGUGAAAGCAGGGGACCUUCGGGCCUUGCGCGAUUGAAUGAGCCGAUGUCGGAUUAGCUAGUUGGCGGGGUAAAGGCCCACCAAGGCGACGAUCCGGAGCUGGUCUGAGAGGAUGGUCAGGCACACUGGAACUGAGACACGGUCCAGACUCCUACGGGAGGCAGCAGUGGGGAAUAUUGGACAAUGGGCGCAAGCCUGAUCCAGCCAUACCGCGUGGGUGAAGAAGGCCUUCGGGUUGUAAAGCCCUUUUGUUGGGAAAGAAAUCCAGCUGGCUAAUACCCGGUUGGGAUGACGGUACCCAAAGAAUAAGCACCGGCUAACUUCGUGCCAGCCGCCGCCGUAAGAC